GCCCGCCACCGGAAGUCAGCCCGGAGGCGUCGGCGGCUUCCGGUCGUCGCGGCGCCGGCGGGACUGAGGGGAGAGCCUGAGUUUAGGAAGGCCUGGCGUCCGGCCCCCCACGUCGCAAGAUGACCUUAGGCGUCCUCCCGCCCCGCGUCAGGCUGUGGCCUGCAGCACGCGGCUGCCGCGGCCGGGAGACAGGGCUGGCGGAGGGCCGGCGGGCGUGCAGGGGCCCGAGGAGGAGGCCAGGCCGUCCCCUCAGGGCGUGGGUCAAGUUGGGCGAGACCAGAUCAGGAACCCAGGGCUGAGAGGCCAGCGAGAGAGGCCCCGGCGUGCCAGGCCGCGGGCGCGGGGCGGUGGGCGGGGCCGGGGCGGUGGGCGGGCCGCGCGCACUCAGCCAAUCCGAGCGCGAGGAGCUGGAGAUGGGCGGAGCCGCAGGAGGACUCUUGGGAUCCGCGGAACCUGCGAACCUGCCCUGAGUCGGACCUGGAACCGCGAGGGGUGGCGUGUAGCUGCGCAGCGAGAAGAAAUGAUGGUCACAAAAGUGGGAACACCAAUGAAAAGAAAGAAAAAUGCUAAAUGAAGGCUCUGGGUCAUUCAGAAAAAUAUGACAUUUGUGGGAUGAUUAUGUUCCAAUAGAAGGUUGGCAAGUAAUUCUCCUAAGCCUUUGCCUCAAAGUUACACACCUGCCAGCAUUAAAAUCCAGGAAACUCAUAACAUCUUCAGGGCUUCAAAGGAGAAGGGAUAUUUAAGAGGUGAGGGCAAUUUGGAAGAACAGUGUAGGACUGGCUGGAGUGUGAAGUCUUAAGAACCAAAGUGGGAGUCUGCAAAUGGAAGAGCAGUGAGGGCCAGCAACUCAGCUCCACCAGGACAAAGUGCUUAGAGUCUGGAAAACAAUAACCUGGAGAGGAAUCAAAGUGAGUGGAGGGUACGCAGGAACCACAAAGGAACUGACGGAAGAGAAGAAAAGUAGGAUUAGUAGAUACAGAAGAAAUAGAUCACACCAUGAAGGAGAGACCAUACAGUGCUGCCAGUGGCAGCUAGCCAGCUCUCUGCUGGGAGGCGAAGUGAAACUUACAACUUCUCAGCUCACAGAGAACCAGAGAACUACACUGGGACUGGGAGAGUCUUCUGCACUUUAAAUCAGCA
rnacentral:lncRNA from 1 species